rnacentral:rRNA from 1 species
UACGUAGUUGGCAAGCGUUGUCCGGAUUUAUUGGGCGUAAAGAGCUCGUAGGCGGUUUUGUAAGUCAGGUGUGAAAUCUCCACGCUCAACGUGGAGGGGCCACCUGAUACUGCCAUGACUGGAGUCCGGUAGAGGAGUGUGGAAUUCCCGGUGUAGCGGUUAAAUGCGCAGAUAUCGGGAGGAACACCCGUAGCGAAGGCGGCACUCUGGGCCGGUACUGACGCUGAGGAGCGAAAGCGUGGGGAGCAAACAGG